rnacentral:lncRNA from 1 species
UCUGGCUCCACCGCUGACCUGCCAACCCGACAGCACCGACUGGAUCGAGACCUCGGCAGCCCUCACCACCUGUCCCCGCUGGCUGCCAUGGACGGCACGAGAGACGGGGUGUCGGGUUCCCUCCUGUCUCCUGGGAUGAAGACAGCGGGGACAUCGCCUCCUCCACUGGAGAAACAGCAUGUCCACCCUCACCACAAGCUUUACCCUCACUAUCACCAACAUCAGCCUGCCAGCGACGAAUACCAAGGCAGCUUCCAGAGCUGCUUCCAUUUCGGAGACUCCUACAGGAUGGAGCAGACAGUCGGUGGCGUCCACGUCCCGGGGGAUUCUCACACCUACACUUCCCAUCAGCCCAAUGGCUUCCACAUGUCGACAAGCAACACCGGCUCUGCAGGCUUCAGCUUGACCCAGGAGCUGCAGGGAGGCGGCGGUUGCCAGUUCUUAUCCAGCCCAGAGGAUAGCAUUUUCUUCCAGGUGGGCAGCUUUGACCGUAGCUUGAGCCACAUGUCCUCCAUCUACACAGAGACAUAAAGGAACACUGGAGCAAGACACGCUUCACCACACUACUCCGCAGUCCUUCCUCAUGCAUCCUCACGCACUUAGAUCUUUUUUUUUCUUCAGUUCUGG